CGGUGUUUAACUGGCGUGAUGUGGGACGUCCUACCGGUGGGCUUAGCCUCGCGAGGGGCGGCCCAACUAAUAUCCCGUCGCGGUGCUCUUUACUGAGUGUCGAGUCGGGCCGGUACGUUUACUUUGAACAAAUUAGAGUGCUUAAAGCAGGCUAUCCUCGCCUGAAUACUGCGUGCAUGGAAUAAUGGAAUAGGACCUCGGUUCUAUUUUGUUGGUUUUCGGAACCCCGAGGUAAUGAUUAAUAGGGACAGAUGGGGGCAUUCGUAUUGCGACGUUAGAGGUGAAAUUCUUGGAUCGUCGCAAGACGGACAGAAGCGAAAGCAUUUGCCAAAAAUGUUUUCAUUAAUCAAGAACGAAAGUUAGAGGUUCGAAGGCGAUCAGAUACCGCCCUAGUUCUAACCAUAAACGAUGCCAGCUAGCGAUCCGCCGAAGUUCCUCCGAUGACUCGGCGGGCAGCUUCCGGGAAACCAAAGCUUUUGGGUUCCGGGGGAAGUAUGGUUGCAAAGCUGAAACUUAAAGGAAUUGACGGAAGGGCACCACCAGGAGUGGAGCCUGCGGCUUAAUUUGACUCAACACGGGAAACCUCACCAGGCCCAGACACCGGAAGGAUUGACAGAUUGAUAGCUCUUUCUUGAUUCGGUGGGUGGUGGUACAUGGCCGUUCUUAGUUGGUGGAGCGAUUUGUCUGGUUAAUUCCGAUAACGAACGAGACUCUAGCCUGCUAAAUAGGCGUACCUUAUGGUAUCGCGAAGGCCCCCGGCUUCGGCCGGUGGGUUUUUACUACCAACGUACAAACAAAUCUUCUUAGAGGGACAGGCGG
rnacentral:rRNA from 1 species